GACGAACGCUUGCGGCGUGCCUGAGAAAUGCAAGUCGAGCGGGCAGCAAGGCUUCGGUUUUGCUGUUAGCGGCGAACGGUCGAGUAACACGUAAGCAACCUGCCCCACAGUCGGGGAUAACAGCGGGAAACUGCUGCUAAUACCGGAUAGGCAUAGCUUUUCGCCUGAAGAGCUGUGUAAAGGCUAGACUGCUGUGGGAGGGGCUUGCGGCCUAUUAGCUAGUUGGUGGGGUAACGGCCUACCAAGGCGACGAUGGGUAGCUGGUCUGAGAGGAUGGUCAGCCGGAUCGGGACUGAGACACGGCCCGGACUCCUACGGGGGGCAGCAAUCAGGGAUAUUGCGCAAUGGGGGAAACCCUGACGCAGCGACGCCGCGUGCGGGACGAAGGCCUUCGGGUCGUAAACCGCUGUUGUGGGAGACGAGUGCCCGGUGAUGAGCCGGGAGAGACGGUAUCUCACAAGGAAGCCCCGGCUAACUACGUG
rnacentral:rRNA from 1 species